UAGGGAAUCUUCCGCAAUGGACGAAAGUCUGACGGAGCAACGCCGCGUGAGUGAUGAAGGCUUUCGGGUCGUAAAACUCUGUUGUUAGGGAAGAACAAGUGCUAGUUGAAUAAGCUGGCACCUUGACGGUACCUAACCAGAAAGCCACGGCUAACUACGUGCCAGCAGCCGCGGUAAUACGUAGGGGGCAAGCGGUGUCCGGAUUUACUGGGUGUAAAGGGCGCGCAGGCGGGAUAAAAAGUCAGUGGUGAAAUCCUACAGCUUAACUGUAGAACUGCCUUUGAUACUUUUAUUCUUGAGUUAGGGAGAGAGAGACGGAAUUCCAGGUGUAGUGGUGAAAUACGUAGAUAUCUGGAAGAACACCAGUUGCGAAGGCGGUCUCUUGGUCCGACACUGACGCUGAGGCGCGAAAGCGUGGGGAGCAAACA
rnacentral:rRNA from 1 species